AAUAGAUACCCCGGUAGUCCUAGCCGUAAACGAUGCAUACUAGAUGUAGGAGGGCUCAACCCUUUCUGUAUCGGAGCUAACGCGUUAAGUAUGCCGCCUGGGGAGUACGCUCGCAAGGGUGAAACUCAAAAGAAUUGACGGGGGCCCGCACAAGCAGUGGAGCAUGUGGUUUAAUUCGAUGCAACGCGAAGAACCUUACCCAGGCUCGAAAUGUAGAGAAAAACUGCAGAAAUGCAGCGUCCCGAAAGGGGCUCUAUAUAGGUGCUGCAUGGCUGUCGUCAGCUCGUGCCGUGAGGUGUUGGGUUAAGUCCCGCAACGAGCGCAACCCUUAUUGUCAGUUGCCAACAUGUAAUGGUGGGGACUCUGGCAAGACUGCCUAGGUUAACUAGGAGGAAGGUGAGGAUGACGUCAAGUCCGCAUGGCCUUUAUGUCUGGGGCUACACACGUGCUACAAUGGUCGGUACAGAAGGCAGCGAAGCCGCGAGGCGGAGCAAAUCCGAAAAACCGAUCUCAGUUCAGAUUG
rnacentral:rRNA from 1 species